UACGUAGGGAGCAAGCGUUGUCCGGAAUCAUUGGGCGUAAAGCGCGCGUAGGCGGCUCGAUCAGUCUGUUGUGAAAGUCAAAGGCUCAACCUUUGAAUGCCGAUGGAUACUGUCGAGCUAGAGUCCGGAAGAGGCGGGUGGAAUUCCUGGUGUAGCGGUGGAAUGCGCAGAUAUCAAGAGGAACACCUGCGGCGAAGGCGGGUUGCUGGGCUGACACUGACGCUGAUGCGCGAAAGCGUGGGGAGCGAACAGG
rnacentral:rRNA from 1 species